rnacentral:rRNA from 1 species
GACGAACGCUGGCGGCGUGCUUAACACAUGCAAGUGGAGCGACGAACCAGGGCUUGCCCUGGGGCAAAGCCGCGAACGGGUGAGUAUCACGUGGGUAACGUGCCCCGAUGACCGGGACAACCCGAGGAAACUCGGGCUAAUACCGGAUGUGCUGUGUGGCCCCAAGGCCACUCAGUAAAGGAAGCUUCGGCCUCCGCAUUGGGAGCGGCCCGCGGCCCAUUAGCUUGUUGGUGAGGUAAAGGCUCACCAAGGCAACGAUGGGUAGCUGGUCUGAGAGGACGAUCAGCCACACUGGGACUGAGACACGGCCCAGACUCCUACGGGAGGCAGCAGUGGGGAAUCUUGCGCAAUGGGCGAAAGCCUGACGCAGCGACGCCGCGUGAGGGAUGACGG